CCGUCUGGAGCAGCCUAGGCUGGAGGGCAGAUGAUGACAGAAGGACUGGGAAGUGAUUCCACUCUCAAUUCGCCCCUCCGUCGGGCAAGAAGGCUCACUGGACCGGGGUGAGCGGGAAACAGAGGGAGCCACACCGAAGGGGACAGGGACACGCUCCCGCGGGAGAGGACGCAAACCCAGCGUUCCGUGAAGCUGGACACUAGGUCAACGCCGUGGAAAGGAAGACGGGGGAGAGUGUGGCCCACCCGCCACGGGAUGGGCGCAGCCGCCACGCGGGUGACAGCCAAGCCGCGCACGAAGUCACGCCCCGGACGGAGCCCGCGUGGAGCAGCGACUCCGAAACCCUAAGGCAUCUGCCGCUGCCGCCACGCACGUCUGUGUCUCCGCGGAUCCUCCGUGCCGGGCAUGUAUUAUUUAUACGAUACGAAAGUUCUUCUGCGGUGGAAAGAGAUUGGGGUGGGGGUCCGCUAUCGAGAGCACCCCCUUCUAUCCCAGGCUGCAGGAGGAGGCAGCGUGGCGAGGAAUCACCGUACUAUUUACAUACCCAGCUCCCCGCGUGGGCUCUCGGUGGUUCUCCAUCGUGGCCUGUGGCAACUCAUUUCUCCAAGUCACUUCCGAUCAAGGUCACGGGCAGCCCAAGCUGUCUGAGGGUCCCCAGUGGCUGGGAGGUAACUCUGAGCACAAGUCUGCUCCAUUGAGGAAACCAAGCCCCGCUUCCCCCGGACGGUCCCCUUCAUACUGGACCCAGACGUGCCUGCACCCCUGAGCCUCAGAGACCACAGCGUCGCAGGUCUUUAUUGAGGCAGGAACCGGCAGCAUCCGGCCAGGUGCAACUAUGCAACACGUCAUCACGCUCCAGAACAGUCCUGACAUGUCCAUCCAAGGAGUGUUUUCUGGAGCAGCAGUUUUGGAGACAUUGUGUCCGUCCCCAGGGAGCCCGGUUAUGCGCAUUUCCCGAGGGAGAAAGUGCUGCUCGCUGGGUCCCAGCGGAGGGCGCUCUGCAGGGCUGGGACCCAAAUUCUCACAUGGCCCUGAAAUGCGCUGAGAAAAAAAAAAAAAAAAAACAACCUGACGGGUGGAUGGAGGACCGUAGACGGGCAGAUGUGGAAAAGCAAACGUGCUAACGGGAAGAAUCUAGAUGUAGGCAUUUGGGUGUUCUCUGGCCAAUUCUUUCAACUUUCGCACGUUUGAAAGUUUUCAGAAUAAAACGUUGGGGAGAAAACA